rnacentral:rRNA from 1 species
CGUCAAACCAUCAUGCCCCUUAUGACCUGGGCUACACACGUGCUACAAUGGGCGGUACAAAGGGUCGCGAACCCGCGAGGGGGAGCCAAUCCCAAAAAGCCGCUCUCAGUUCGGAUUGCAGGCUGCAACUCGCCUGCAUGAAGCCGGAAUCGCUAGUAAUCGCGGAUCAGCAUGCCGCGGUCGAAUACGUUCCCGGGCCUU